rnacentral:rRNA from 1 species
GACGAACGCUGGCGGCGUGCUUAACACAUGCAAGUCGAACGGAAAGGCCCUGCUUGCAGGGUACUCGAGUGGCGAACGGGUGAGUAACACGUGGGUGAUCUGCCCUGCACUUCGGGAUAAGCCUGGGAAACUGGGUCUAAUACCGGAUAGGAGCCAUUUUUAGUGUGAUGGUUGGAAAGUUUUUUCGGUGUAGGAUGAGCUCGCGGCCUAUCAGCUUGUUGGUGGGGUAAUGGCCUACCAAGGCGGCGACGGGUAGCCGGCCUGAGAGGGUGGACGGCCACAUUGGGACUGAGAGACAGCCCAGACUCCUACGGGAGGCAGCAGUGGGGAAUAUUGCACAAUGGGCGCAAGCCUGAUGCAGCGACGCCGCGGGGGGGAUGACGGCCUUCGGGUUGUAAACUCCGUUCGCUAGGGACGAAGCUUUUUGUGACGGUACCUAGAUAAGAAGCACCGGCUAACUACGUG